CUCCGUGUGGCGCAGAAGGCAGCGCGCGUGGUUCGGGACCACGAGGCCGCAGGUUCGAUUCCUGCCGCGGAGACCA
rnacentral:tRNA from 1 species